rnacentral:rRNA from 1 species
UACGUAGGGUCCGAGCGUUGUCCGGAAUUAUUGGGCGUAAAGGGCUCGUAGGCGGUUUGUCGCGUCGGGAGUGAAAACUCAGGGCUCAACCCUGAGCGUGCUUCCGAUACGGGCAGACUAGAGGUAUGCAGGGGAGAACGGAAUUCCUGGUGUAGCGGUGGAAUGCGCAGAUAUCAGGAGGAACACCGGUGGCGAAGGCGGUUCUCUGGGCAUGACCUGACGCUGAGGCGCGAAAGCGUGGGGAGCAAACAGG